GACGAACGCUGGCGGCGUGCUUAACACAUGCAAGUCGAACGGAAAGGCCCUGCUUUUGUGGGGUGCUCGAGUGGCGAACGGGUGAGUAACACGUGAGUAACCUGCCCUUGACUUUGGGAUAACUUCAGGAAACUGGGGCUAAUACCGGAUAGGAGCUCCUGCUGCAUGGUGGGGGUUGGAAAGUUUCGGCGGUUGGGGAUGGACUCGCGGCUUAUCAGCUUGUUGGUGGGGUAGUGGCUUACCAAGGCUUUGACGGGUAGCAGGCCUGAGAGGGUGACCGGCCACAUUAGGACUGAGAUACGGCUCAGACUCCUACGGGAGGCAGCAGUGGGGAAUAUUACACAAUGGGCGGAAGCCUGAUGCAGCAACGCCGCGUGCGGGAUGACGGCCUUCGGGUUGUAAACCGCUUUCGCCUGUGACGAAGCGUGAGUGACGGUAAUGGGUAAAGAAGCACCGGCUAACUACGUG
rnacentral:rRNA from 1 species